GGAGAGAUGGCCGAGCGGCUGAAGGCGCACGCCUGGAAAGCGUGUAAGGGGUCAAACCCUUCGAGGGUUCGAAUCCCUCUCUCUCCACCA
rnacentral:tRNA from 1 species